rnacentral:rRNA from 1 species
UACGGAGGGUGCAAGCGUUAUCCGGAUUCACUGGGUUUAAAGGGUGCGUAGGUGGGCAGGUAAGUCAGUGGUGAAAUCUCCGGGCUUAACCCGGAAACUGCCAUUGAUACUAUCUGUCUUGAAUACCGUGGAGGUGAGCGGAAUAUGUCAUGUAGCGGUGAAAUGCGUAGAUAUCUGAAGGAACAUCAGUGGCGAAAGCGACUUCCUGGACGAAUACUGACGCUCAUGUGCGAAAGCGUGGGGAGCAAACAGG